UAUAAGAUAUUUUUUACCUUUAGUUAUUUCUACAUGUGCUACGCCUGUUACAUCUUCAGCUGUUACGUCAAUUCCAUCUGCACCACCUUCAAAUGGUAAAUUUAUGAAUCUGGAAUGUC
rnacentral:lncRNA from 1 species